GAUGAACGCUGACAGAAUGCUUAACACAUGCAAGUCUUUGGCGAAGCUGUGCUUGCACAGCCUAGCCAAGGCGGACGGGUGAGUAACGCGUAAGGAACUUGCCCUGCAGUCAGGGAUAACAGACGGAAACGACUGAUAAGACCUGGUAAAGUCAGGCGGACUCAUGUCCAGCCUGAUGAAAAGUGAUGCUGCAGGAGAGCCUUGCGUCCUAUUAGCUUGUUGGUGGGGUAACGGCCCACCAAGGCGAUGAUAGGUAGCCGGCCUGAGAGGGUGGACGGCCACAAGGGGAAUGAGAUACGGCCCUUACUCCUACGGGAGGCAGCAGUGGAGAAUAUUGGACAAUGGGGGCAACCCUGAUCCAGCAAUUCUGUGUGCACGAUGAAGGUUUUCGGAGUGUAAAGUGCUUUCAGCAGGGAAGAAAAAAAUGACGGUACCUGCAGAAGAAGCGACGGCUAAAUACGUG
rnacentral:rRNA from 1 species